AUGUGUUAUGAUUUAUGUGAUUGUUGUUAAUGACAAGUGAACACAAGAAUUAGGGAGAUGAGCAUGAAAAUACUUGUACAUUAUGUGUCAUACACCCAAAAUACUACAUGCGGGAACCCCGCUAGGCGUGUGACGUACCAGGAUCUAACCUCCAAUCACAUUGAACUAUUAACAAGAUAUUAUGAAUAAAUUCCCAUUUAUUAAGUUAAAACAUUCUCAAACGUAACUCAAAGCUUAACAAGUUCAGCGGAAGCAUAAAGUAAACCAUUGUUCAAUGUUGUAAAACCAAAUGUAUGACAAUCAAUAAACUUGUCUCAUGUAUCCAAACAAAGCUCGACCCAUGACUACUCCAGCAAUCCCAGACAGCAAGUUCCUUGACCAAGGUAUCUAACGACCUGCGAGCACGCAACAAGCGUAUCAGCAAAACGUUGGCGAGUUCCAGUUUAAUAACAAUUCCGAAAAUAAUGUUGAUAAUAACUCGAUACCGUACAAGAUGGCGUCAGAUUAUUUUGCCCGUCCCCAAUUCUCCCUAUCAAAGCAUUGCUCAUGAUUAAGGUCAUUAGUUCACGCCCGUCCUCUCAGGAAUACCCGUUUGAUUGUCCCACCCCUGGGACGCAUGCUCAAGAGAAGUGAACUCAACUUGGAUUGCUCGGUAAAUUAAAUUACUUGUUCAUAGUUGAUCAACCACGCCCUAACAUGGUUAUCAAUAUCCAUAAGUUUUUGUUUACUAGUGAACCACAUAUUUAACAGAUAACAUCAUAUAGCAUAUAACAGACAACGCAUAGCAUCACGAAAUUAAUCAUUCAAGUACAUGCAGCCUAGGAUUGCAAGUUCGUAACCCAUAACAAGAAAACAGUCUAAAACGUCAACUGCACAAGUGUGCAGCCAAGGUAUGCUAGGCCCAAAAACUCCUUUACAGCCCAAGUCUUGUGCGAUUGAAGUGAAGGUGUGUGACCAAUCCAUCACUUGUGCGAUCCAACAUGAACAUGACCGACCCAAUUGCACUUGUGCGAUUGGGUCCAGAUUCGUGGGCCAGUGGUACGAUUCACUAACACUCCGGCCCAUGUACCUAGUGUGUGUGUGAUUGGGUUUUGGGUUGUGCGAUCGGCGUGUGCGGCCCAACUAAAAACCCGGCCUAAGUGUAGACCUGCCCAAAGACUUGUGCGACUGACCCUAGGCUGUGCGAUUUAUUCCAAAUGUGCGACUCUGGGUUUGUGCGGCCCAAUAUCAAUGUUAGGCCCAAGGUGUUGUGCGAUCCGGUGUGUUGUGCGAUGCUCACCCGGGUGUGCGAUUCCAUGUGCAAGAUCAGUUAAACAAUCGCAUUAAAUGUAGCCAAUCAGUUACACAAAUAUCAAAAUAACUCUCCAUAA
rnacentral:lncRNA from 1 species